GCCUUUCAGCUGAGGAAUUGCCUCUUGGA
rnacentral:piRNA from 1 species